AUUGAACGCUGGCGGCAGGCCUAACACAUGCAAGUCGAACGAGUGGCGGACGGGUGAGUAAUGUCUGGGAAACUGCCCGAUGGAGGGGGAUACCUACUGGAAACGGUAGCUAAUACCGCAUACCAUCGGAUGUGCCAAGAUGGGAUUAGCUAGGAGGUGGGGUAACGGCUCACCGAGGCGACGAUCCCUAGCUGGCGUGAGAGGAUGACCAGCCACACUGGACCGUAGACACGGUCCAGAUGCCUACGGGAGGAAGCAGUGGGGAAUAUUGCAAAAUGGGCGCAAGCCGGAUGCAGCAAUGCGGCGUGUAUGAAGAAGGCCUUCGGGUUGUAAAGUACUUUAAGCGAGGAGGCGUUACUCGCAGAAGAAGCACCGGCUAACUCCGUGCCAGCAGCCGCGGUAAUUC
rnacentral:rRNA from 1 species